rnacentral:rRNA from 1 species
AAAUUGAAGAGUUUGAUCAUGGCUCAGAUUGAACGCUGGCGGCAGGCCUAACACAUGCAAGUCGAACGGUAACAGGAAACAGCUUGCUGUUUCGCUGACGAGUGGCGGACGGGUGAGUAAUGUCUGGGAAACUGCCUGAUGGAGGGGGAUAACUACUGGAAACGGUAGCUAAUACCGCAUAACGUCGCAAGACCAAAGAGGGGGACCCUCGGGCCUCUUGCCAUCGGAUGUGCCCAGAUGGGAUUAGCUUGUUGGUGGGGUAACGGCUCACCAAGGCGACGAUCCCUAGCUGGUCUGAGAGGAUGACCAGCCACACUGGAACUGAGACACGGUCCAGACUCCUACGGGAGGCAGCAGUGGGGAAUAUUGCACAAUGGGCGCAAGCCUGAUGCAGCCAUGCCGCGUGUAUGAAGAAGGCCUUCGGGUUGUAAAGUACUUUCAGCGGGGAGGAAGGGAGUAAAGUUAAUACCUUUGCUCAUUGACGUUACCCGCAGAAGAAGCACCGGCUAACUCCGUGCCAGCAGCCGCGGUAAUACGGAGGGUGCAAGCGUUAAUCGGAAUUACUGGGCGUAAAGCGCACGCAGGCGGUUUGUUAAGUCAGAUGUGAAAUCCCCGGGCUCAACCUGGGAACUGCAUCUGAUACUGGCAAGCUUGAGUCUCGUAGAGGGGGGUAGAAUUCCAGGUGUAGCGGUGAAAUGCGUAGAGAUCUGGAGGAAUACCGGUGGCGAAGGCGGCCCCCUGGACGAAGACUGACGCUCAGGUGCGAAAGCGUGGGGAGCAAACAGGAUUAGAUACCCUGGUAGUCCACGCCGUAAACGAUGUCGACUUGGAGGUUGUGCCCUUGAGGCGUGGCUUCCGGAGCUAACGCGUUAAGUCGACCGCCUGGGGAGUAUGGCGCAGCAAGGUUAAAACUCAAAUGAAUUGACGGGGGCCCGCACAAGCGGUGGAGCAUGUGGUUUAAUUCGAUGCAACGCGAAGAACCUUACCUGGUCUUGACAUCCACGGAAGUUUUCAGAGAUGAGAAUGUGCCUUCGGGAACCGUGAGACAGGUGCUGCAUGGCUGUCGUCAGCUCGUGUUGUGAAAUGUUGGGUUAAGUCCCGCAACGAGCGCAACCCUUAUCCUUUGUUGCCAGCGGUCCGGCCGGGAACUCAAAGGAGACUGCCAGUGAUAAACUGGAGGAAGGUGGGGAUGACGUCAAGUCAUCAUGGCCCUUACGACCAGGGCUACACACGUGCUACAAUGGCGCAUACAAAGAGAAGCGACCUCGCGAGAGCAAGCGGACCUCAUAAAGUGCGUCGUAGUCCGGAUUGGAGUCUGCAACUCGACUCCAUGAAGUCGGAAUCGCUAGUAAUCGUGGAUCAGAAUGCCACGGUGAAUACGUUCCCGGGCCUUGUACACACCGCCCGUCACACCAUGGGAGUGGGUUGCAAAAGAAGUAGGUAGCUUAACCUUCGGGAGGGCGCUUACCACUUUGUGAUUCAUGACUGGGGUGAAGUCGUAACAAGGUAACCGUAGGGGAACCUGCGGUUGGAUCACCUCCUUA